rnacentral:rRNA from 1 species
CAGCACGGGAAUACAGAGGGUGCGAGCGUUAAUCGGAUUUACUGGGCGUAAAGCGUGCGUAGGCGGCUUCUUAAGUCGGAUGUGAAAUCCCUGAGCUUAACUUAGGAAUUGCAUUCGAUACUGGGAAGCUAGAGUAUGGGAGAGGAUGGUAGAAUUCCAGGUGUAGCGGUGAAAUGCGUAGAGAUCUGGAGGAAUACCGAUGGCGAAGGCAGCCAUCUGGCCUAAUACUGACGCUGAGGUACGAAAGCAUGGGGAGCAAACAGGAUUAGAUACCCCAGUAGUCCCUGUCUCUUAUACACAU